rnacentral:rRNA from 1 species
AAUGAACGCUGGCGGCAUGCCUAACACAUGCAAGUCGAACGAGACCUUCGGGUCUAGUGGCGCACGGGUGCGUAACGCGUGGGAACCUGCCCUUAGGUUCGGAAUAACUCCCCGAAAGGGGUGCUAAUACCGGAUAAUGUCUUCGGACCAAAGAUUUAUCGCCUUUGGAUGGGCCCGCGUUGGAUUAGCUAGUUGGUAGGGUAAAAGCCUACCAAGGCGACGAUCCAUAGCUGGUCUGAGAGGAUGAUCAGCCACACUGGGACUGAGACACGGCCCAGACUCCUACGGGAGGCAGCAGUGGGGAAUAUUGGACAAUGGGCGAAAGCCUGAUCCAGCAAUGCCGCGUGAGUGAUGAAGGCCUUAGGGUUGUAAAGCUCUUUUACCCGGGAUGAUAAUGACAGUACCGGGAGAAUAAGCUCCGGCUAACUACGU